GAGGGUAUAGCUCAGUGGUAGAGCACAUGCUUAGCAUACACAAGGUCCUGGGUUCAAUCCCCAGUACCUCCC
rnacentral:tRNA from 1 species